GACGAACGCUGGCGGCGUGCUUAACACAUGCAAGUCGAACGGCAAGGCCCUGCUUUUGUGGGGUGCUCGAGUGGCGAUCGGGUGAGUAACACGUGUGUAACCUGCCCUUGACUUUGGGAUAACUUCAGGAAACUGGGGCUAAUACCGGAUAGGAGCUCCUGCUGCAUGGUGGGGGUUGGAAAGUUUCGGCGGUUGGGGAUGGACUCGCGGCUUAUCAGCUUGUUGGUUGGGUAGUGGCUUACCAAGGCUUUGACGGGUAGCCGGCCUGAGAGGGUGACCGGGCAAAAUGGGACUGAGAUACGGCACAGACGGCAACGGGAGGCAGCAGGGGGGAAUAUUGCACAAUGGGCGGAAGACUGAAGCAGCAACGCCGCGUGCGGGAUGACGGCCUUCGGGUUGUAAACAGCUGUAGCCUGUGACGAAGAGUGAGUGACGGUAAUGAGUAAAGAAGCACCGGCUAACUACGUG
rnacentral:rRNA from 1 species